rnacentral:rRNA from 1 species
UAAUGCUUAGGAAUCUGCCUAUUAGUGGGGGACAACAUUUCGAAAGGAAUGCUAAUACCGCAUACGCCCUACGGGGGAAAGCAGGGGAUCUUCGGACCUUGCGCUAAUAGAUGAGCCUAAGUCGGAUUAGCUAGUUGGUGGGGUAAAGGCCUACCAAGGCGACGAUCUGUAGCGGGUCUGAGAGGAUGAUCCGCCACACUGGGACUGAGACACGGCCCAGACUCCUACGGGAGGCAGCAGUGGGGAAUAUUGGACAAUGGGGGGAACCCUGAUCCAGCCAUGCCGCGUGUGUGAAGAAGGCCUUUUGGUUGUAAAGCACUUUAAGCGAGGAGGAGGAGCUCUAGACUAAUACUCUAGAUGCUUGGACGUUACUCGCAGAAUAAGCACCGGCUAACUCUGUGCCAGCAGCCGCGGUAAUACAGAGGGUGCAAGCGUUAAUCGGAUUUACUGGGCGUAAAGCGUGCGUAGGUGGUCUUUUAAGUCGGAUGUGAAAUCCCUGAGCUUAACUUAGGAAUUGCAUUCGAUACUGGGAGACUAGAGUAUGGGAGAGGAUGGUAGAAUUCCAGGUGUAGCGGUGAAAUGCGUAGAGAUCUGGAGGAAUACCGAUGGCGAAGGCAGCCAUCUGGCCUAAUACUGACACUGAGGUACGAAAGCAUGGGGAGCAAACAGGAUUAGAUACCCUGGUAGUCCAUGCCGUAAACGAUGUCUACUAGCCGUUGGGGUCUUUGAGACUUUAGUGGCGCAGCUAACGCGAUAAGUAGACCGCCUGGGGAGUACGGUCGCAAGACUAAAACUCAAAUGAAUUGACGGGGGCCCGCACAAGCGGUGGAGCAUGUGGUUUAAUUCGAUGCAACGCGAAGAACCUUACCUGGUCUUGACAUAGUAAGAACUUUCCAGAGAUGGAUUGGUGC